rnacentral:rRNA from 1 species
UAGGGAAGUCUUCCACAAUGGGCGCAAGCCUGAUGGAGCAACACCGCGUGAGUGAAGAAGGGUUUCGGCUCGUAAAGCUCUGUUAGUUAAAGAAGAACACGUAUGAGAGUAACUGUUCAUACGUUGACGGUAUUUAACCAGAAAGUCACGGCUAACUACGUGCCAA